AUUAAUUUCACUUUUUUUUUUUUAAAGAAACUUAAUUAACUUUAAAGAAGCACCCAAGAAUGAUACAUCUGUUGAGAGCACUUAGACAUAAUUAUAAUACAACUCUUUGAGGACAGAGGUCCUGUAUGGGAAGUUAGUGCAGUGAUUCCUGUUGUUGAUUUAAUAAUUAGCACUCUUAUUUAUGAUAUCAUAAAGGUUCUUGACAUGAGCUGCCUAGGCCAUGGAAGCCUUUUGAGUCCACAAACUCCAUCAGUAUUUAGACAGGGCCACAAGCAAAGUGCAAGUUCUCUCCUCUAUCUCUCUUUUUUUUAAAAUUUAUUUGACAGGUAGAGUUAUAGACAGUGAGAGAGAGAGAGACAGAGAAAAAGGUCGUCCCUCCAUUGUUUCACCCCCCAAAUGGCCGCUAUGGCCGGAACUACACCAAUCCGAAGCCAGGAGUCAGGUGCUUCCUUCCGGUCUCUUAUGUGGGUGCAGGGGCCCAAGCACCUGGGCCAUCCUCCACUGCCCUCCGGGGCCACAGCAGAGAGCUGGACUGGAAGAAUGGCAACUGGGACUAGAACUGGUGCCCAUAUGGGAUACCGGUGCCACAGGUGGAGGAUUAACCAAGUGAGCCAUGGCUCAGUUUACAGAGAAAAGUACCUCCUUCUUUGAUGGCCAUUUCUUUCCACUGGGGUCUCACUCACGGAGAUCCUUCAUGUGUUUUUUUUUUUUUUUUUUUCCCACAGAGUCUUGGCUUUCCAUGCCUGAAAUCAUGCAGUAUUUUGACAGGCCACCUGGAUGCCCACCUACCCUCCCAAGCCAGUGACGCGCCCCCCCCCCCCCCGCCCAGGUAACCACUUGCCAGGGGCCACUUGCAAAGAAGACUUUGCAGGUAGGGCAUGGAGACCACCCACAGGCAUCUCAAGAGCCAGUCUGCCAAGGGGAUGGCAGUUUGUCUCCUGGGGGAGAAGCCAGCUGUGCUUGGUCCCUUGGCUUGUGGCUGAGACCUUUCUCACCGCUGCCCAGAAGUGCGCAAGAAAGAUAAAGGGAACUAUCCAGACCAUAAUUUGGAGCACACCAGGAUCCCAGAACUCGGCCCAGCAGUAGCACCUGCUGGCCCUGAACCAGAUGCUUAAAAUCAACCCUGCACAGGUGUGCAUCUCCCCAAAUGGGUGACCACCCCAGUUCAUCAUAAGGAAAUCGAGACUCAGACCCUUACACAGACUCUGAGACCAACCAGUCAGCAGCCUGGCGGAGCUAUGUCUGAGUCAGGGUCUGCCCAGCCCCAAAACCUGGGCUCUCCCCUCCACCGUGAACAAGGCCAGAAAGAAAAAGAUCUUCAAAAUACAACAUGAUGGAAAUAACAAAGUGUAAAGAUAAGAAAAGUCCCCAAAGUACAGGCAACCAAAGCAAACCGCGGCAAACGGAUUCUAUCAAGCUCAGAAGCGAGCAAUGGAGUGAAGAGACAUCCAGCAGAAUGGGAGAAAGUAUUUGCAAACUACUUAUCUGACAGAGGGUAAUACCCAGAAUAUAUCAGCAACUCAAAAAAUUCAAAAACAACAACCAGUGCAAUUAAGAAGUGGGCCAAGGAUCUGAAUAGACUGUUCUCGAAAGAAGAAAUUCAAGGCCAGCACCGCGGCUCACUAGGCUAAUCCUCCGCCUGCGGCGCCAUCACACUGGGUUCUAGUCCCGGAUGGGGCGCCGGAUUCUGUCCCGGUUGCCCCUCUUCCAGUCCAGCUCUCUGCUGUGGCCUGGGAGUGCAGUGGAGGAUGGCCCAAGUGCUUGGGCCCUGCACCUGCAUGGGAGACCAGGAGAAGCACCUGGCUCCUGGCUUCAGAGCAGCGUGGUGCGCCGGCCGCAGUGGCCAUUGGGAGGUGAACCAACGGUAAAAGGAAGACCUUUCUCUCUCUCUCUCUCUCUCUCUCUCUCUCUCUCUCUCUCUCUCUCUCUUGCUGUCCAUUCUGCCUGUAAAAAAAAAAAGAAGAAGAAA